CUCGGCAGAUUAUAAUGGAACAUGAAGGGUAGCGGAAUCUGCCGAGUCUUAUCAGGAUGAGGUGCAUCAUUCGCAAAUCCAGUGUCAUAUCGAGUUCAUUGUUUUCGUAAGCACUUCCGAUAUGCACAAUCAACAUUUCCUCAAAAUAAAUAGAAAGAUGCUUGUUUAUUUCAAUAGUUAUAAGUGGUUGUGAUUUUUUUUAUAAUUUUAUUGAUAUGUAUUGUUUUAUUCUAGAUGAGAGAAGUGCAGAGGAAAUCAUCAUCUGUCUUGGCAUGCUAAAAGAGGAGAUAAAGAACAGUAGCAAAUAUGCUGCUAGGCCAUUGACCAGCAGUUGGGUACUAAGAAAGGAGAAGCUCUUAUUGACCUGUAAAAUGAAAACAGGACAUUUUCAAAUUGUUUUGUUGUAGGGAUGGGAUACAAGUAGAAGAUUGGCCAAUAUUAUGUACAUGUACCUUGAUAUGAAUUUAUUUUUGAUUGUGUUCAAUGAUAAACUGGAAAUAAAUGAUAACAUAAAUUC